rnacentral:tRNA from 1 species
GCCUGUAUAGCUCCAACUGGACAGAGCAUCUGACUUUUAAUCAGAAGUGUGCUGGUUCGAAUCCAGCUGCAGGCA